rnacentral:rRNA from 1 species
GACGAACGCUGGCGGCGUGCUUAACACAUGCAAGUCGAACGAAGUGGCGAACGGGUGAGUAAGGCGUAAUCACCCUGCCCUUCAGAGGGGGACAACAGUUGGAAACGACUGCUAAUACCGCAUACUGAAGGUGGGGCUUGCGUCUGAUUAGCUGGUUGGGGGGGUAACGGCCCACCAAGGCGAGGAUCAGUAGCCCGGCUGAGAGGGUGAACGGCCAAAAUUGGACUGGGAAACGGCCCAGACUCCUACGGGAGGCAGCAGUGGGGAAUCUUCCGCAAUGGACGAAAGUCUGACGGAGCAAAGCCGCGUGAGGUAUGACGGCCUUCGGGUUGGAAAGCUUUUUUAAUCGGGACGCGGUACCGGAAUAGAAAGCCACGGCUAACUACGUGCCAGCAGCCGCGGUAAUAC